rnacentral:rRNA from 1 species
GACGAACGCUGGCGGCAGGCUUAACACAUGCAAGUCGAACGGAGUGGCGGACGGGUGAGUAAUGCCUAGGAAUCUGCCUGGUAGUGGGGGAUAACGUCCGGAAACGGGCGCUAAUACCGCAUACUAUCAGAUGAGCCUAGGUCGUAUUAGCUAGUGGGUGGGGUAAAGGCCUACCAAGGCGACGAUCCGUAACUGGUCUGAGAGGAUGAUGAGGCACACUGGAACUGAGACACGGUACAGACUCCUACGGUAGGCAGCAGUGGGGAAUAUUGGACAAUGGGCGAAAGCCUGAUCCAGCCAUGCCGCGUGUGUGAAGAAGGUCUUCGGAUUGUAAAGCACUUUAAGUUGUGAGGCGUUACCAACAGAAUAAGCACCGGCUAACUCCGUGCCAGCAGCCGCGGUAAUAC